UACAGAGGGUGCGAGCGUUAAUCGGAAUUACUGGGCGUAAAGCGUGCGUAGACGGUAGCGUAAGUCAGAUGUGAAAGCCCCGGGCUCAACCUGGGAACUGCAUUUGAGACUGCUCUGCUCGGGUGCGGAAGAGGGAAGCGGAAUUUCCGGUGUAGCGGUGAAAUGCGUAGAUAUCAGGAGGAACACCAGUGGUGUAGACAGCUUACUGGACCGCUUCUGACGCUGAGACACGAAAGCGUGGGUAGCAAACAGG
rnacentral:rRNA from 1 species